CGCGGGAUGGAGCAGCAUGGUAGCUCGUCGGGCUCAUAACCCGAAGGUCGUCGGUUCAAAUCCGGCUCCCGCA
rnacentral:tRNA from 1 species